rnacentral:pre_miRNA from 1 species
GUGAGAUGGAAUCAGCGUUUGGACAUUGCGAUUUUACGCUGACUCCAUCUCAUGA